rnacentral:misc_RNA from 1 species
UCAGGCCAAACAUGUGUAUAACCCAAUUGGCCUUUUUGCCACAAGAAAUUGAGUACUCUCAUCAAGAAACCAGAUUCAUCCUCUUCACUCUCAUUGUCAAGUGAACCUUCCUGUUUCAAUCUUGCCUCUGCUAAAAAAAAUCAUGGAAGCACAGACACAAAUUGCUCCUACCGACCUCAAACUCAAACCACUCCAUUGUGAUCUAAUCCCAGCCAUCAUAACUCCUAUCACCUUCCCUCCUUAUCUCUCACUAAAUAUCAAAUUAUCUCGAAUUUGAGGUCAAACACAGAAGUGAAAGAAAAAAAGAACUCAAAAAUGAAAACGAGCCAAGUUGUUAGCUGUUUAACUGAAAACCAGAGUUGGCUAUAACUGGAACUCAAUGACAUUCAAC